GGUUAAAUAGUCUAAAAAGGAUAUCGAAUUGCAAUUUCGCCGGUGUGUAAAACUUUAACUUAUUACCU
rnacentral:tRNA from 1 species